rnacentral:rRNA from 1 species
UUUAACAAAGAGAAGCAAAGCCGCGAGGUAGAGCAAAUCUCAAAAAAACAAUCUCAGUUCAGACUGCAGGCUGCAACUCGCCUGCACGAAGUCGGAAUUGCUAGUAAUCGUAGGUCAGCAUACUACGGUGAAUACGUUCCCGGGCCUUGUACACACCGCCCGUCAAACCAUGAGAGUUGGCAACACCCGAAGUCGGUAGUCUAACCGCAAGGAGGACGCCGCCGAAGGUGGGGUUGAUGAUUAGGGUUAAGUCGUAACAAGGUACC